AUCGCUUCUCGGCCUUUUGGCUAAGAUCAAGUGUAGUAUCUGUUCUUAUCAGUUUAAAUCCACUUUAUAGAACUUUGCUUGCUCCCUCCACAAGCUGGUCCCACUUUGAUGACACUUUUUGAGUCCCUGCUCCAUUUUUAAAUACUGAUCUAGACAGCUUUAUGUACAACUCAAAGGUCAUGUCAUAAUCUUC